AAGUCGUAACAAGGUCUCCGUAGGUGAACCUGCGGAGGGAUCAUUACAGAGAAACUCGCCCGCGAGGGUGACUCUCCAACCCUUAUGUCAACUAUACCUUUGUUGCUUUGGCGAGCCGCCUCGGCCACCGGCCCACGCUGGUGAGUGCUCGCCAGAGGACCCCAAACUCUGUUUAUACAUGUCGUCUGAGUACUAUAUAAUAGUUAAAA
rnacentral:misc_RNA from 1 species